GAUGAACGCUAGCGAUAGGCUUAACACAUGCAAGUCGAGGGCCCGGCGCACGGGUGCGUAACGCGUAUGCAACUUGCCUACCAGAGGGGGAUAACCCGUCGAAAGACGGACUAAUACCGAGUACUUUGAGAUAGGCAUGCGUCCGAUUAGCUAGUUGGUGAGGUAAAGGCUAACAAAGGAAACGAUGCGUAGGGGAACUGAUAGGGUGAACCCCCGCACCUGUACUGAGACCCAGACCCGACCCCUACGCGGGAGAGCGGUGAGUAAUAUAGGUCGAUCGGCGAUAGUCUGAACCAGCCACGUGUCGUGAAGGAGGCCUGUGUUUGAAAGGUAAACUAGUUUUGUAGAAGAAUAUGUACCCUACGAAUAAGCAUCGGCUAACUCCGUGCCAGCAGCCGCGGUAAUAC
rnacentral:rRNA from 1 species